CCUACGGGAGGCAGCAGUGGGGAAUAUUGCACAAUGGGGGAAACCCUGAUGCAGCGACGCCGCGUGAGUGAAGAAGUAUUUCGGUAUGUAAAGCUCUAUCAGCAGGGAAGAAAAUGACGGUACCUGACUAAGAAGCCCCGGCUAACUACGUGCCAGCAGCCGCGGUAAUACGUAGGGGGCAAGCGUUAUCCGGAUUUACUGGGUGUAAAGGGAGCGUAGACGGCCAGACAAGUCAGAAGUGAAAGCCCCGGGCUCAACCCUUGGACUGCUUUUGAAACUGGCGGGCAGGAGUGCAGGAGAGGUAAGCGGAAUUCCUAGGGUAGCGGUGAAAGGCGUAGAUAUUAGGAGGAACACCAGUGGCGAAGGCGGCUUACUGGACUGUAACUGACGUUGAGGCUCGAAAGCGUGGGGAGCAAACAGGAUUAGAUACCCCUGUAGUC
rnacentral:rRNA from 1 species